rnacentral:rRNA from 1 species
UAGGGAAUUUUCGUCAAUGGGGGGAACCCUGAACGAGCAAUGCCGCGUGUGUGAAGAAGGUCUUCGGAUCGUAAAGCACUGUUGUAAGUGAAGAAUGCCAUAUAGAGGAAAUGCUAUGUGGGUGACGGUAGCUUACCAGAAAGCCACGGCUAACUACGUGCCAGCAGCCGCGGUAAUACGUAGGUGGCAAGCGUUAUCCGGAAUCAUUGGGCGUAAAGGGUGCGUAGGUGGCACGAUAAGUCUGAAGUAAAAGGCAACAGCUCAACUGUUGUAUGCUUUGGAAACUGUCGAGCUAGAGUGCAGAAGAGGGCGAUGGAAUUCCAUGUGUAGCGGUGAAAUGCGUAGAGAUAUGGAGGAACACCAGUGGCGAAGGCGGCUUCCUGGUCUGCAACUGACACUGAGGCGCGAAACGUGGGGGAGCAAACAGGAUUAGAUACC